GACGAACGCUGGCGGCGUGCUUAACACAUGCAAGUCGAACGGAAAGGCCCUGCUUUUGUGGGGUGCUCGAGUGGCGAACGGGUGAGUAACACGUGAGUAACCUGCCCUUGACUUUGGGAUAACUUCAGGAAACUGGGGCUAAUACCGGAUAGGAGCUCCUGCUGCAUGGUGGGGGUUGGAAAGUUUCGGCGGUUGGGGUUAGACUCGCGGCUUAUCAGCUUGUUGGUGGGGUAGUGGCUUACCAAGGCUUUGACGGGUAGCCGGCCUGAGAGGGUGACCGGCCACAUUGGGACUGAGAUACCGCCCAGACUCCUACGGGAGGCAGCAGUGGGGAAUAUUGCACAAUGGGCGGAAGCCUGAUGCAGCAACGCCGCGUGCGGGAUGACGGCCUUCGGGUUGUAAACCGCUUUCGCCUGUGACGAAGCGUGAGUGACGGUAAUGGGUAAAGAAGCACCGGCUAACUACGUG
rnacentral:rRNA from 1 species